rnacentral:ncRNA from 1 species
GUUAGGCCGCCAAGCGUUCAUAGCGACGUGGCUUUUUGAUCCUUCGAUGUCGGCUCUUCCUAUCAUUGUGAAGCAAAAUUUACAAAGCGUAGGAUUGUUCACCCUUUCAAGGGAACGUUUAGUUAGUGUCUA